UGUCUGCUGUUAAAUGUCUUAAAGGUUAAAUGUCUUGAAUGUUCUUUAGUUCCUGUAAAUGCCCGUUGAUGAUUAAAUUCUUUAUUUCUGAAGAAUUCUCCAGCAUCUCCUCACUCCUUCCCGAGUGUAAUUGUGACAGAACAGCAGACCAAGAAAAAACGAGCAAUCUUCAUAUCACUGGCUCAGGCGAGCCCCGACCCAAUUGUGUUUGCGAGGGUGUUUGUGCCACUCACCCUUGCCAGCUCCCUUGAGGGGAAACCCUAAAGACGCUGUUCCGGAUUGGGAUAACUUACCAUCGUCCCACGGAGCUCCCAGACACCACCACCCUCGGCUGGAAGGAGGCAGUCAUCCGGUGUCUGGAGAGUAUCCGAUCCCGAUCCGGAACCAGUCAGCCAGGGGCUCUGGAUCCCCAGUUAAGCCCAGGGAGGGAUCCUGUUCCCAAGAUAAGCCCACGGCGGGCUCCCGUUCCUGAGUCAAGCCCAGGAUGGGCUCCCGUUCCCAAAUUAAGCCCACGGCGGGCUUCCGUUCCUGAGUUAAGCCCACGGCAGGCUCCCGUUCCCAAGUUCAGCCCAGGAAGGGCUCCCGAUCCCCAGUUCAGCCCAGGAAGGGCUCCCGGUCCCCCGUUAAGUCCAGUGUUGUCUCCUGAUUUCCCCGUUAAGCCCAGGGAGGGCCCCAGAUCCCCCGUUAAGCCCAGGAAGGGCUCUAGAUCUCCAGCCAGCCCCAGAGCUCGCUCCAGUGUCGGCUCCAGCCCCAGAGCUCGCUCCAGUGUCAGCUUCAGCCCCAGAGCGUCCAUCAAGUGAAUGGAUGCCGUCAGAAUGAGAGUCCAAACAGCUGAUAAAAACAUCACAAUAAUCCACAAGAAUGCUGUCCAUGAGGAAACAAGUUCUAGGAUGGCCUGAGGAUGGUGACAAACUGUUUGAUGUGAGACAGAAAGAGAGUGACAGCUGUGAACUAAAAGAAGGGAGAAAGAGAACGCAGAGAGACAGGAGAAGAGUGAUGGAGACAGCGAGGAUGAGGUGGAUGCAACACUAACAUCAUG